GGUCAUUGAGAAUUUCUAGAACUGGCUCCAAUGCGCAUUUGUUGACACGAACGCGAGCUCCAAGUGAGCCAUUUUUGGUAAGCAGAACUGGCGCUGUGGGAUGAACCAAACGUUGGGUUAAGGUGCCUAACUUUCGUCGCUCAUGAGACCCCAUAAAAGGCGUUGGUUGAUAUAGACAGCAGGACGGUGGCCAUGGAAGUCGGUACCCGCUA
rnacentral:ncRNA from 1 species